rnacentral:lncRNA from 1 species
CACAUAUUACAUAUUGCUAAUUUUAACAUUAAAUUCCUAUUUGUAUCUUUUUCUUUAUCUUUUUCUUCUUCUAUUGUUGUCAUACUACCAAAUUCAUCUUUUAUAGCUGUUUCGUAUUUUUUUAAUAAUUCUAUAGGUGUUAGUUUAGUUGUUGUUGAUGAUGUUCCUUCUAUAGGUUUAUUAGUUCUUAAUACUUUCUUGCUAUUUUCAGUUAAAUUUGAAAACCAUAGUUUUACUGAUCCUAUUAGUGUUCUUUCUAUAUAUUCUGGUGCAUCUGUUAUGUUUAUAUUAUUAUUUAAUAAUUGUUUUGUCAUAUAUCCUAUCCAUAAUUGUAUUGUUUUUUCUGUAUCUAUUACACAGGGGUAUCAUUUAAAUCAUUCUUAACAUGUUUGCAUGCUCUUUUUAUUUUCACUGCACCAAGUUCUCUUAUUUUUAACUAAGUUACGCACACAACACAAAAUAAUACAAAACAACAAUAAAAGAAAUAAAACAUGCAGGUUCUAACAAGAUAGCAUAGUCGAGGAAAAACAAAUACGAUAAAGAAAACCCUCGAUUGUAUUACACCCCCACCCCCAACAUGAAGAUCAUGGAAUGUACCCAUUGCAUCAAAAACCAAAAAAAUAUAUAACUAGGGUAAGGGACAUACAUGAGGAACACAAGACGCAAGUAGUACUUUGAUCUGCUAGGGUCACAGAUGGAACCACUCCAACACCCAUUGCUCUUAUAGCCUCGAUUGUGGUCGUGGCACUAAACAUAAAUGGACACUAAUGGCAACUAAUUCACUAAAUAAUUUUACAAGGGAAGACAUUGUACUCCCCCCACUCUGAAUAACCAACUCAGUAGUAGGUGGAAUCUCAAUACCCUCCAGAAUCUGUACCUCAUAGGUCUGCUCACUCUUCUUCACCCUCUUCUUCUUUUUCUUCUCACUCUUAUUAAUCUUUAUCCUCUUGUGGGACUGCAAUCAUCCUCAAUAUCCUCUGUAUAUGUGUCAUCGCCCCCAACCACUAGGGCUUGAGUAUAAAAAUCUAUAAAUAAAGAAUAUAUCCACCAUAAGGCCAGUCAAAAAGGUCAUAGGUAGAGGUAUUAGGGGUACAACCUGGGUAUUCUUUUUUGUUAGCUCCUUGACCAGUUUCUUCAAUUUAGCAAAGUAAUUCUUGAUCGAUCUCAGGUCUGAUCCUAGACCUCCUCAAUUUUAUCCAUUAUCCAACUACCACCCGUACCACCAUUUUUAUCUCAUCAUCUAUAUAGGGCUUCACUCCUACCUCCAAAUUUUAUAUCUAGGAAUUAUGCAAUAACUAAUUCCACAUAAUUUACUCCAGUUGAGUUGUGGGAAUUUAUGUGUAACCACCAGGCACAAAUAGAUGUAAAUCCAAUUGUGUCAUGUCCUACUAAAAAGAGAAAGAAGUAGAACUAGCUUUGAUGUCGGGAUCUCACAGCUUGUGCUACCUUUAGAUAAAAAUAUGGUAAAGGACCUAAGGCUGGAGCUGUUGGGUUCCUCAAAUCCUUUAUCAAAACAAAAUUUGUUCUCUUUAUUAGUUAGAUAAAUCUAUCGACCUUGGAAUACCUGUCACGUAUAACUCUUGCAGCAGUUUUGUGAUAAGACAUGGGAAUGUUAGAGUAGUGUUAAACUAUAAUACUCUAUCUUAAAUCUCCUCGAUAAUGAUGCACAAAAUGUUUAACUCCUACUCUUCCAUAAAAGCAACUACCUAGCAUACAUUAAUAACACCUAAUGUGUUGUAAUUUUCCAUAAGUGCUAUGUGAUGUUGAUCAAUCAACCAACAAACCUUGGCCGAGAAACUCAAAGUACAUUUGUAGAUUGUUGCUCUAUUAGCCAAAGUGCAUUCUCACCCACUUUAGCAUUGUGGCCUGCCAACCACUUGUAAUGCAUAACCUUCUCAUUGGUAGUCAAUUUCUUCACCCUCUAUAAAUCUAUGAUCAAGAAAUUUUAUUUUAAAGUCUUCAAUACUUGCUCAACAUUUUUCCUAAACAAGACAUAGAUAUAGCCUUGAUAUAAAUAUCAAUCUCAUUGUCUCUCCCCUAUACUAUAUCUAAACGAGGCUGAUUCCUUAUAUCCUUAUCUUUACCCGAGGGAGUUAUGUUCUUGAGCAUCACUGCAUAGUUGGCAUAGAACUCUGUUUCCAUCUCUAGACUAUAGUUUUGGAGUGCCCUAGUCAUCCACCAUAGCUCACACCUCACAAAUACUAAAACACCUCUGGGAUUCUCUAUAGUGACUUUUGCAAGAUUUGGGGCUCCUUCUGUGUACUCCACUUUCUAUUACCACUGUUAUUUAAUGAAACCCAAUCAAUAUAUUAACCCCUUGAAUUUAUCAUAACCCUCCCCAUGAGGUAAACACCCCUCUGAGAUUCAUUAGUAGUAGGUCCCUCAGAGGAUUCAGGUUGGACUCUUCCUCCUCCUCUAAAGAACUUAUCUCCUCAGUAGCAAUGAUUUAGUAUAAGUCACAAAUAUAGUUGAUGAUAUAGCAUGGUCUUUGCCUUUUUCUAGAUCGUUGGCCUUGGAACUAGAAGUCUGGGUAUACGUUGCUCAUUCAAGGAAGUUGCAGAAUAUUCAACUCAGUAUCACUUGAGCUGUCAGACAAACUCUUCGAGGUCAGAAGUGUGUCCUUGCAUGAUUGCUUCUUCAAAACAUCCUUUUGUAUCUGCAUGAGGGUUUUUGGAUUCAUAGAACAUGUACAAAAAACAUAUUAGUCUUACUUUUAAAAUAAUAAUACAAGUUUAGGAAUUUGCUCAGAUGAGUCUUCCUAAAAUUGUGCAAUGAAGGUAUAAUUAUACUUUUAAUCGUAGGAAAGCUUACACAAAAGUAAUGGGGGUUUGUUCCAUCAAAAGAGUACGUACCAUAAUUGUGCCACAAAAGGAUGAUUGUGGGAUGUGUUUUUCUGAUGAACUCAUGUACUUUGAAAACUAUAAUGGUAUAACAAACCUACCUACAACCAUAUGUUGAUACCACGACCGUGGAUUGUGUCGUGGACUUUGAACUGACACCUAUCAAUUUAAAAUAUACAAUUUUUACCCUAAUUUGAACCAAAUUUGACCAUCAUUGACCAUGUUCUUAAACAAGGGGUACCCAGACUUUCCCCUUUAUUCAUUCAUUCAAAAUUUCAAUACAGUCAAAUGACCUAAUAGACUUCUUUGCAUUUUAAUGCCCAUUCACUUAAAAUUAUCACUUAUAACCCAUCAAUUUUCAACAUGGGAAAAAUUUAUAAAGCAUGAGUAACUACUUACAGUAUUUUAUCUUGAAUUUGGGUGUUUGGGUAGAGAAUGAGUUUGAACACCGAAGAGAGUAGCUAAAGUACGCAAUUUAGAAGUAAGAAUUCAUAAUUGUUUUGGUAUUUUGAUUGCUUUACUUUUUGUUAGAGAGAGUUUGAAUUAAUGAAGUGUCAUAUAGGGUCUUUAGGUAUACAGUUUAACAAUUUAAAACCUAAAUUAGGUUAGGCCAAAUAAAGUCUCUCUUAAAUAGUUGGACCUAACAUAUGACUCUUACCAUAAUAGUUAGUUCUUAUCACGAGCAUGGUUCCUACUCAUACCAGGAGGGUGAAGAAAACUUAUAUGGGAACCUACCAUGUUUAAAGACAAUUAGAAUAUGUACACACAUCUGUUACUUAAAAGCAUAGGUUUGAUGACCCGCAUGUUGGUCUCCAAGAGUUAGAUCAAAUGGUUUAUACCAUGAUCGUGACUUUUAAGUAAAAUAGUAGAGACCAAUUGUAAGAUAACUCCUAAAAAUUAUCUUUUUGGACUUUGUGUAGAUGACCAGACCCACAAUUGUUGGACCUUUCCUCGAUCAUGUAAUGCUUUCAUGGGUUCAAUAAUGAUUUCUAUUCUGAAGUUUCUUUUCUACACAAUACAUACACAAGUAAAACACAUUACCUUAUAUAAGCAAAAAUACAAAAAUCCUUGGGUCGCCUCCCAAGUAGCACUUAAUUUAAUGUCAAGACACGAUGUGACAAAGUUGGUUACUCAAACUUCACUAACUAAACCAUGGGUUUCCUUCAAUGAAUUGUUUGAUUUUCAAUUGCAUCACGACUCGGGUGUGAUUGACUUCUCAAGCACCCUCUACAUCCACUUCACAAAUUACCUUUCUUUCAUCAAUGUCACCGUGAUAAUGUUUUACUCUUUGGCCAUUCAACUUAAACUUUUGGCAUUCUUUAUUUUCCAGCUCAAUUGAACCAUAAGGAAAUACUCUUGUAACUCUAUAUGGUCCUCUCUAUUAUGACUUUAACUUUCUAGGAAAUAUCUUAAGCUUAGAAUCAAAGAACAAUACCAUAUUAUUUGCAGAUAGUUCUAGUUUUUCAAUCUUGUGAUAAUGGUAUAAUUUCAUUCUCUCCCUAUACAAAGAUGACAAUUCAUAAGCAUGGAUAUGGAAUUCAUCCAUCUCGUUCUUCAUCACUCCAUUUCAAAUUGAACCUAUGCCUUAUGCUCAAGUUUGACAAGCAAGUUGCAUACUUUUCACUACAUAUACUGAUAUGGAGAAGAACUAAUAGGGGUCUUGAAUGUUUUUCAGUAGUCCAAUAGUGUAUCAUCUAACCUUUUAGCCUAUUCAAUCCUAUUAUCAUUCACAGUCCUCACAAAAAUAAACUUGAUCUCAUUGUUGGUGACCUCAACUUGCCCACCUGGUAAGGUGUUUCCCCCUUAUGUUUCAUACAAUAUUCCUAAAGCAAAGCUUUGAAGAAACAAUUGAAAAAGUGUGAGACACCAUCAUUAACGAUAACCCUUGGUGUUUACAAUUCAAAAAAUAUGUUCUUUUUCAAGAAUGACGUGAUGCUCUUCGCUUAGUUUUUUGUAAGUCAACUACCUCUACUCACUUUAAAACAUAGUCAACAACUACAAGAGUAUACUUCAUUCGAUGUAAGCUCACAAAGGGGCAUGAAGUCAAUACCCCAUACAUCAAAUAGCUCAAUCUCAAGAAUAGUGGUCAUUGUAAGCUCUUGCCAUUGUGAGAUAUUUCCUUGCCUUUGGCACUGGUCACAAGUUGUGGCAUAGCCGUGAGAAUCUUUGUAAAUUGUGGGCCAAUAGUAUCCACAUUGUAAGAUAUUAUGUGUAAUUCGUGCACCACUAUGAUGACCCUUAGCUAGUGACGUGUGCCAUGCCUCUAAGGUACUUAUCAUCUCUACUUCCGGACGACAUUACUGAACACUUCUAUUAAAACAACUUUGGAACAAGUAUGUCUCAUUUCAAAAUAACAUCCUCACCUUAUAUAUAAAUUACGUAUGUUGCUAAAAUGACAGGUGUCUAGGAACCACAUUACUUACCUAAUAAUUCACGAAGUUUGCAUAGCAUGAAAUCAAAUCUUAUGAUACGGAUAGUACUUGUUUAUCCGAAAAAGUGUCAUCAAUUUGAGGCUCAUCUUUCAGUUUCAGCACAACCUCCUCUUGAAGGAGUGAUAAGUGGUUGGCUACUUGAUUCUCAAUCCCCUUAUAGUCCUUGACUUCAAAGUGAUAUUCCUUUAAAAAAAUUACCUAAUGAAUCAAACUUGGUUUACAUCAUUCUUUGCCAUAAGAAGAGAUACUUGGUGAGUGUGCACAAUCACAUUUGUUCGAAGGAAAUAAAAUCAAAAUUUCUUUAACACAAACGUCACAGGAAACUCUUGUUCAUUCAUAGUAUAGUUUUUCUAAGUAGGGUUCAGCACUUUGCUAGCAUACUAGAUGGGAUUUAAAAUCUUCUCUCUCCUUUGUCCUAUGACUGGACCUAGUGCCACUUUAUUAGAAUCACACGUAUCCUUAAAUGACAUGGACCAAUUAAGAGACACAAUAAUAGGAGAUAGAAUUAACUUCUCUUUCAGGAACUCAAAUGCUUUUCGAGGUGCAUCAUCAAC